rnacentral:rRNA from 1 species
GACGAACGCUGGCGGCGUGCUUAACACAUGCAAGUCGAACGGAAAGGCCCUGCUUUUGUGGGGUGCUCGAGUGGCGAACGGGUGAGUAACACGUGAGUAACCUGCCCUUGACUUUGGGAUAACUUCAGGAAACUGGGGCUAAUACCGGAUAGGAGCUCCUGCUGCAUGGUGGGGGUUGGAAAGUUUCGGCGGUUGGGGAUGGACUCGCGGCUUAUCAGCUUGUUAGUGGGGUAGUGGCUUACCAAGGCUUUGACGGGUAGCCGGCCUGAGAGGGUGACCGGCCACAUUGGGACUGUGAUACGGCCCAGACUCCUACGGGAGGCAGCAGUGGGGAAUAUUGCACAAUGGGCGGAAGCCUGAUGCAGCAACGCCGCGUGCGGGAUGACGGCCUUCGGGUUGUAAACCGCUUUCGCCUGUGACGAAGCGUGAGUGACGGUAAUGGGUAAAGAAGCACCGGCUAACUACGUG